rnacentral:rRNA from 1 species
AUUGAACGCUGGCGGCAGGCCUAACACAUGCAAGUCGGGCGAGCGGCGGACGGGUGAGUAAUGUAUGGGGAUCUGCCUGCUGGAGGGGGAUAACUACUGGAAACGGUAGCUAAUACCGCAUACCAUCAGAUGAACCCAUAAGGGAUUGGCUUGUAGGUGAGGUAACGGCUCACCUAGGCGACGAUCUCUAGCUGAUCUGAGAGGAUGACCGUCCAGACUGGGAGGGGGACAGGGCCCGGAGUCCUUCGGGAGGAAGCAGUGGGGAUUUUUGCGCAAUGGGCGCAAGCCUGGUGCAUCCAGGCCGCGUGUAUGAGGAAGUCCUUAGGGUUGUAAAGUACUGUCAGCGGGGAGGCGUUACCCGCAGAGGAAGCACCGGCUAACUCCGUGCCAGCAGCCGCGGUAAUUC